CAUAAACUGACCUUUAGGGAGAAAAGUGUAAGCAGAGGAACCCGUGGCUGGCUGGCUGUAAGCGGAACUCUGGGAGUCAAUAAGUUCCUGGCUUCAGAGUCGAGCCCUCUGCAGUGACUUUCAGAUCCUUGCAAACCUGUAUGAGCAAUGACAGGAUAUACCACCAGGUUGAGAUGUAGUUUAAAAACGUGAUAAAACAUACAAGAAAUGGGAGAGCACCUGACCUGAUUUCCUCAUAUUGAAGCCUAGAGAGGGGAGAGCCUGAGAACUCACCACAAUGAUUCCUUUUGUUGACUGAGGCUGAGGUGAAAGUGGGAAAGGUGAAUGCACACAGAAGUGAAAGUAAGAAGUAACUUUGUAUCCUAGUGCAAAUUGCCCUUCCGUGGCGUGGCCCCAACUGGUUACUCCCUGUGGUUACCUCCUGCUCACACCUUUCUUUCACUUGUAAUAUCUUCAGUUCCACACCAUAAGCAAGCAGUUGUCCUCAGUUGUCCUCUGCAUUGAUCCCCUGGAGGCCAACAAAGCAUUAAUAGUCUUUCACCUAUGCGGGUUCUUUGAAAACAGGUCAGGCUGCAUUUUUGUUGUUAUACUUCUCCCGCCACCAUUCUGCAGAAGAGCAUGACUUUUGCUAGCCUCUGAAGGACUAGUCUCCUGACAGAGAAUCAGCCAUUGUGUGGCCCUCUCCUACACUGACUCUUGGCUUGGCUAGCUUUGACCAAGCGGAUAUCAGCAUGGAGCCGAGUUUGAUUGUGAAUCCGUUGUGGAGGUCUGAUGAGUGCCUCUAUAGUUGAGACUCGUCUUCUUGGAACACCAGUCUCUCUCAGGCUUCAUUGGCAUCUCAGGCUUCAAUGUUGUACAAUCAGAAGCCCAGAUUAGGUGUGCAAUGGACAUUGGGAAGGGAAUAUACAUGCUCACUGAGCAAGCACUUGGGAGAUGGCUAACAUCGAUUCUUUGGAUGCGUGGGAGACAAUCCUCCAAACCUCAUGAACAUACUGCAGCUUCUUCAAAAAUGACCUUGAAUGACCUUCUUCAGCAAGUUCUGCCCAUGUUCCAAAGAAGCUGCAAAAACAUAUUGCUACCAUUUUACCCAUAGUGAUAUGCUAUGGAUAAGCAUAAUAUACUUCCUCUGCGAUCUA